CUACAUCGCUCUGACCAAGAAGGGUAAAAGAAUAGCAAAGAAACAACACUAACAAAGUUUAGACACAUAAAUUUUGAAGGUCUAGCUACCAUAUUAUUACCCACAAGGGUAAAGGAACAGUACCACUGCUGGAUAAUUGAAAAGUCCCGGUGUGUCAACCUCUGUGCUUCGUGGCAAGGUAGACUAGCAAACAUGCCCAACCUUUACUCACAUUCGAGAAAACACUCCCAACAAGAUUGCUUGCUCCAAAAUCGAAGAGGCACCGCCCUCCGAAUCUCGAGAGCCAGACUCCCAACAUGAUUACUUUCUCAAAAAUCGAAGAGAGGGUAAAGGAACAGUACCACUGCUGGAUAAUUGGAAAGUCCCUCUGUGUCAACCUCUGUGCUUCGUGGCAAGGUAGACUAGCAAACAUGCCCAACCUUUACUCACAUUCGAGAAAACACCCCCAACAAGAUUGCUUGCUCCAAAAUCGAAGAGGCACCGCCCUCCGAAUCUCGAGAGCCAGACUCCUAACAUGAUUACUUUCUCAAAAAUCGAAGAGAAGGUAAAGGAACAGUACCACUGCUGGAUAAUUGGAAAGUCCCUGUGUGUCAACCUCUGUACUUCGUGGCAAGGUAGACUAGCAAACAUGCCCAACCUUUACUCACAUUCGAGAAAACACUCCCAACAAGAUUGCUUGCUCCAAAAUCGAAGAGGCACCGCCCUCCGAAUCUCGAGAACCAGACUCUCAACAUGAUUACUU
rnacentral:lncRNA from 1 species